rnacentral:siRNA from 1 species
UAGUGGUAUUUCACUUGCGCC